ACACUCUUUGACCAUGCAAUUAUAUAUUUAUUAACAACUCGUAGUUGUUGUUAGUUGUAGAAAAAAAGAGGGAGGAGAUGUAAAACUGCAGUGAAAAUAAGGGUGGCCUUGUAGUUUUGUGGGAGGAAAGAUUAGUAACAGCGCCGACAUCAGAGUGCAGAACGUAAUCAGUGACUCAUAAAAUAAGGAGUUUUCUCACCCUCUCAGAAGCAGGCACACAGCACAGGGAAACUGAGUCGUACAGCUCAGAGUCACAGGCGUAGUAUGGGAGUGGCAUCAGGUUCAGUAGAGGAAGCAGGCACACAGCACAGGGAAACUGAGUCGUACAGCUCAGAGGCACAGGCGUAGUAUGGGAGCGGCAUCAGGUUCAGUAGAGGAAGCAGGCACACAUCACAGGGAAACUGAGUCGUACAGCUCAGAGUCACAGGCGUAGUAUGGGAGUGGCAUCAGGUUCAGUAGAGGAAGCAGGCACACAGCACAGGGAAACUGAGUCGUACAGCUCAGAGUCACAGGCGUAGUAUGGGAGCGGCAUCA
rnacentral:lncRNA from 1 species